rnacentral:lncRNA from 1 species
GGUUCCUAGUCGGAUUCGUUAACCACUGCGCCACGACGGGAACUCCCUACAUUUGUUUUAGAAUUAUUAUCAAUUCAUACAUUGAAAUACCUGGGUGUUUCAAUCCAUUGAAUAGAUUAACUUACUGGUGCUUAAAUUGUCCUAUAUUUGGCUAGUGGUUCCACAUGCGAGUUGACUUCACGUGAACCUCUUGCCUUGGCAGCUUCCAUGCUCUGAUCUGUGGACAUCUUGUCUGCUACUCACUCCUGUGCAGGAAUGGGUUGUUUCUUUAUGAAAGUGUGUUCCUAGUUGUAGGAAGAGGUAGUUGAAGACCAAUUUAAGUUUUUAGAGAGGUGCUUGUGGUUACGAGGUUGUACACUGUUGCCAGGCUUUUUCAGUAGGCAGGGUCAGAAUAUAAAUUAUAUUUUUAAGAUAACAUACAUCAUGUGUUUGUAGUAAUAUUUUCUAUUCAAUUUUAAGACCAUGAAGGUUUAUACUUUAUCUAUAUUGAUCUUACAAUUUUAUCUCCCUUCUUCCAUUGUGAAAACUUGGUUUUCAAUGACAUCAACAUAAAUAGCCAUUUUCUUGAUCCUAUAAUUCUCAACUACAGAGUAAUAUUAAAAUAACAGUAUCUACACUACUACCCCCGAUAUGAUGAUUAAAAAAGCCUUUGGGAUUUUUUGUUUGUAGUCUUUUUGUGUUAAGGUAUAUUCUACUAAGAACCUAUUGUAAAAGCUUUAUGUUUUAAAGGUCCUUGGAAGAAUUCCUCCCUUUUGUUGAAAAGGGGAUAUACAGUUAUGUAUGCACUUGUUAAAAUUAUAUUUCUGAUUUUUUUAAAAAUUGUAAUAAUGUAAAAUAUUUACAUUGUUUUAUAGUCAGAUUAAAACAAGGUAUUGAGGAGUUAUGUUGUGAUGCAGGGGGUUAAAGGAUCAGGUCCUGACACCAUAGUAGCUCAGGUUGCUGCUGUGGUGUGGGUUUGAUCCCUAGCCCAGAACUUGCACAUACUGCAGGUGUGGCAAAAAAAAAAAAAAAAAAAAAAAAAAGAGAAAAAAAGAACAACAAAGUAUUCAGAGUAGCAAAGCUAGAAUAUUCCCGACACUCUCCAUUUAGUGCCUCUCAGUCCAUAGUUGAUCUUUAUUGCAUUGUUUGAUCUCUGCCUCCAUUUAAAAGAAGAGGGUAAGUGCGUGUGCUAGCAAGUGCAGGUGUGUGAACACUCUCAUAAGUAAAUAGUACCAUUAUAUUCCCUCUUUAUUGCUCCUUGCUUUUUGCACUUUUCAGUAUUUUCUGGAGAUCAUUCCACAGUGAUUUAGAGUUAUUCUGCCUUACAUUAUAUAAUUCCAUCAUAUCUAAUGUGUAGUUACAUGACAGUUUAUAGGAAGUAUCCUUUAUUAUUAUACUUGGUUUCCCUUUUAGACUUUUGCUAUCACACAUAGUGCUAAAGUAAAUAGUCUGUAAAUAUCCUUUUAAUAUUUUUGUCUAGGUAUUUUUAGCACGUUCCUAGAAAUUGGUUUCUAGAUCAGAGCAAAUGCAUGUCAUUUGCAUUCUACUACCCAUGUAUGCAACUUCAGCUAGGCUUUUGACCAUGGUGACUUGGUAACUAAUUAAAAUCUCAAUUCUUCAGUGCAUGGAAUUCCUGUUGUGUCUCAGUGGUAACAAACCCAACUAGUAUCCAGGAGGACUUGGGUUCGAUCCCUGGCCUUGCUCAGUGGGUUAAGGGAUCUGGCAUUGGCGUGAGCUGAGGUAUAGAUCUCAGAUGUGGCUCAGAUCUGGUGUUGCUGUGGUUGUGGCUUAGGCAGGCAGCUACAGCUCUGAUUUGACCCCUGUGGCCCUAAAAAGAAAGAAAGAAAAAAAAAA